GACGAACGCUGGCGGCGUGCUUAACACAUGCAAGUCGAACGGAAAGGCCCUGCUUUUGUGGGGUGCUCGAGUGGCGAACGGGUGAGUAACACGUGAGUAACCUGCCCUUGACUUUGGGAUAACUUCAGGAAACGGGGGCUAAUACCGGAUAGGAGCUCCUGCUGCAUGGUGGGGGUUGGAAAGUUUCGGCGGUUGGGGAUGGACUCGCGGCUUAUCAGCUUGUUGGUGGGGUAGUGGCUUACCAAGGCUUUGACGGGUAGCCGGCCUGAGAGGGUGACCGGCCACAUUGGGACUGGGAUACGGCCCAGACUCCUACGGGAGGCAGCAGGGGGGAAUAUUGCACGAUGGGCGGAAGCCUGAUGCAGCAACGCCGCGUGCGGGAUGACGGCCUUCGGGUUGUAAACCGCUUUCGCCUGUGACGAAGCGUGAGUGACGGUAAUGGGUAAAGAAGCACCGGCUAACUACGUG
rnacentral:rRNA from 1 species